rnacentral:rRNA from 1 species
AGCUCCAAUAGCGUAUAUUAAAGUUGUUGUGGUUAAAAAGCUCGUAGUUGGAUUUCGGCGGGUAGUGGUUGGUUUGAAUUGAUUCAACACUGACUUUUUUACCCGUGUGUUUUGCCAGAAUCUUACGGGUGAUCUUUACCGAUUGUCCGUUGGAACUGGCAGGUUUACUUUGAAAAAAUUAGAGUGCUUGAAUAGUUGCGCAUGGAAUAAUAGAAUAGGAAGUCGUUUCUAUUUUGUUGGUUUUCGGAAAUCGACUUAAUGAUUAAUAGGGAUAGUCGGGGGCAUUCGUAUUCAAACGACAGAGGUGAAAUUCUUGGACCGUUUGAAGACGAACUAAGGCGAAAGCAUUUGCCAAGAAUGUUUUCA